UUUAAAUGUAGCUAUAAAUCUUCAUGUCCAACAUUUAUCGUUCGUAUUAUUUAUUUUUUUAUGGUUAGUAUUUUUAUUAUUAUUAGAUAAUAAAAUAUAAAUAAUAUUUUAUAGGUAACUUAUUUUUAUUAAGUUUUUUAUAAAAGACGGAUGGUCAAAUGUUAUACAUAAAAAUUCACAAGUGUAUUUAAA
rnacentral:pre_miRNA from 1 species